UUGGUUAAGUUAGAAAGGGCGCACGGUGGAUGCCUUGGCACUAGGAGCCGAAGAAGGACGGGACUAACACCGAUAUGCUUUGGGGAGCUGUACGUAAGCGUUGAUCCAGAGAUUUCCGAAUGGGGGAACCCACUAUCUUUAGUCGGAUAGUAUCCUUACGUGAAUACAUAGCGUGAGGAAGGCAGACCCAGGGAACUGAAACAUCUAAGUACCUGGAGGAAGAGAAAGAAAAAUCGAUUUCCUGAGUAGCGGCGAGCGAAACGGAAAGAGCCCAAACCAAGAAGCUUGCUUCUUGGGGUUGUAGGACACUCUAUACGGAGUUACAAAAGAAAGUUAUAAAUGAAGCGGUCUGGAAAGGCCCGCCAAAGACGGUAACAGCCCGGUAGUUGAAAUGGCUUUCCCUCCAGAGUGGAUCCUGAGUACGGCGGAACACGUGAAAUUCCGUCGGAAUCCGGGAGGACCAUCUCCCAAGGCUAAAUACUCCCUAGUGACCGAUAGUGAACCAGUACCGUGAGGGAAAGGUGAAAAGCACCCCGGAAGGGGAGUGAAACAGUUCCUGAAACCGUGUGCCUACAAGUAGUUAGAGCCCGUUAAUGGGUGAUAGCGUGCCUUUUGUAGAAUGAACCGGCGAGUUACGAUUUGUUGCAAGGUUAAGCGGAAAAAGCGGAGCCGUAGCGAAAGCGAGUCUGAAUAGGGCGCAUAAGUAACAGGUCGUAGACCCGAAACCAGGUGAUCUACCCAUGUCCAGGAUGAAGGUAAGGUAAUACUUACUGGAGGUCCGAACCCACGCACGUUGAAAAGUGCGGGGAUGAGGUGUGGGUAGCGGAGAAAUUCCAAUCGAACUUGGAGAUAGCUGGUUCUCUCCGAAAUAGCUUUAGGGCUAGCCUCGAGGUAAAGAGUCAUGGAGGUAGAGCACUGUUUGGACUAGGGGCCCUUCUCGGGUUACCGAAUUCAGAUAAACUCCGAAUGCCAUGUACUUAUACUCGGGAGUCAGACUGCGAGUGAUAAGAUCCGUAGUCGAAAGGGAAACAGCCCAGACCACCAGUUAAGGUCCCCAAAUAUAUGUUAAGUGGAAAAGGAUGUGGGGUUGCUUAGACAACCAGGAUGUUGGCUUAGAAGCAGCCACCAUUGAAAGAGUGCGUAAUAGCUCACUGGUCGAGUGACCCCGCGCCGAAAAUGUACCGGGGCUAAACAUAUUACCGAAACUGUGGAUGAACCUCUUUAGAGGUUCGUGGUAGGAGAGCGUUCUAAGGGCGGUGAAGUCAGACCGGAAGGACUGGUGGAGCGCUUAGAAGUGAGAAUGCCGGUAUGAGUAGCGAAAGAAGGGUGAGAAUCCCUUCCACCGAAUAUCUAAGGUUUCCUGAGGAAGGCUCGUCCGCUCAGGGUUAGUCGGGACCUAAGCCGAGGCCGAUAGGCGUAGGCGAUGGACAACAGGUAGAGAUUCCUGUACCAGUGCUAAUUGUUUAACCGAUGGGGUGACACAGAAGGAUAGGGAAUCGCACGAAUGGAAAUGUGCGUCCAAGCAGUGAGUGUGAGAAGUAGGCAAAUCCGCUUCUCGCGAAGCAUGAGCUGUGAUGGGGAAGGAAAUUAAGUACGGAAGUUCCUGAUUUCACGCUGUCAAGAAAAGCCUCUAGGAAGAGUAGUACUGCCCGUACCGCAAACCGACACAGGUAGAUGAGGAGAGAAUCCUAAGGUGAGCGAGAGAACUCUCGUUAAGGAACUCGGCAAAAUGACCCCGUAACUUCGGGAGAAGGGGUGCUCUAUUAGGGUGCAAGCCCGAGAGAGCCGCAGUGAAUAGGCCCAGGCGACUGUUUAGCAAAAACACAGGUCUCUGCAAAACCGUAAGGUGACGUAUAGGGGCUGACGCCUGCCCGGUGCUGGAAGGUUAAGAGGAGUGCUUAGCUUCGGCGAAGGUACGAAUUGAAGCCCCAGUAAACGGCGGCCGUAACUAUAACGGUCCUAAGGUAGCGAAAUUCCUUGUCGGGUAAGUUCCGACCCGCACGAAAGGCGCAACGAUCUGGGCACUGUCUCAACGAGAGACUCGGUGAAAUUAUAGUACCUGUGAAGAUGCAGGUUACCCGCGACAGGACGGAAAGACCCCGUGGAGCUUUACUGCAACCUGAUAUGGAAUGUUUGUACCGCUUGUACAGGAUAGGUAGGAGCCGAAGAGACGUGUGCGCUAGCAUACGAGGAGGCAAUGGUGGGAUACUACCCUGGCUGUAUGACCAUUCUAACCCGCCACGCUUAGCGCGUGGGGAGACAGUGUCAGGUGGGCAGUUUGACUGGGGCGGUCGCCUCCUAAAGAGUAACGGAGGCGCCCAAAGGUUCCCUCAGAAUGGAUGGAAAUCAUUCGCAGAGUGUAAAGGCACAAGGGAGCUUGACUGCGAGACUGACAAGUCGAGCAGGGACGAAAGUCGGGCUUAG
rnacentral:rRNA from 1 species